rnacentral:rRNA from 1 species
GACGAACCGUGCGAACGUUGUUCGGAAUCACUGGGCUUAAAGGGCGCGUAGGCGGGCCGGACGGUCCGGGGUGAAAUCCCCCCGCUCAACGGGGGAACGGCUCCGGAUACCGCCGGCCUCGAGGGGGGUAGGGGCGAGCGGAACGCUGGGUGGAGCGGUGAAAUGCGUUGAUAUCCAGCGGAACUCCGGUGGCGAAGGCGGCUCGCUGGGCCCUCUCUGACGCUGAGGCGCGAAAGCCAGGGGAGCGAACGGGAUUAGAUACCCCGGUAGUCCUGGCCCUAAACGAUGGGAACUAGGUAGUCGGCCGGCAUGGGCUGACUGCCGGAGCCAAAGUGCUAAGUUCCCCGCCUGGGGAGUAUGGCCGCAAGGCUGAA